CAGUUCUUGAGACCCCCCGGUUUUCUGGAUAGUGAUUUGGUGUUUCGCGAGCUGUGGAAUCACUGUGAUUCCAUAUUACGUUUCUCAUUCAAGACUCCAAUGGUUUGCUUAUUUGCCAACCAAACCGCACUUGCGAUGCUUGAGACCUCUCUAGAAGCAAUACAGGAGAUGACUAUAGCCAGAAUAAUUGGUCAAUCCAACCUGAAAGAGGUGAUGAUCUCCAAUAUCCACAUGAUAAUGGAACAGGGGCAUGGUACAACUCUAUCAGGUGGAACAUUCAUGUUAUUUUUGGGCCAUCCUGUUUUGUAUCAGAAAAUUAUUGCCUGGAGAGUCCU